GAUGAACGCUAGCGGCAGGCCUAACACAUGCAAGUCGAGGGGUAGCAGGAUUAAGCUUGCUUAAUUGCUGACGACCGGCGCACGGGUGCGUAACGCGUAUGCAACCUACCUUAUACUGGGGUAUAGCCCGGAGAAAUUCGGAUUAAUCCCCCAUAGUACUAAUGAAUCGCAUGGUUUAUGAGUUAAAGCAUUGCGGUAUAAGAUGGGCAUGCGUGCUAUGAGCUAGAUGGUGGGGUAACGGCUCACCAUGGCUAGGAUAGGUAGGGGGCCUGAGAGGGUGGUCCCCCACACUGGUACUGAGACACGGACCAGACUCCUACGGGAGGCAGCAGUGAGGAAUAUUGGUCAAUGGGCGCAAGCCUGAACCAGCCAUGCCGCGUGCAGGAAGAAUGCCCUAUGGGUUGUAAACUGCUUUUAUUUGGGAAUAAACCUCUUUACGUGUAGAGAGCUGAAGGUACCAAAUGAAUAAGCACCGGCUAACUCCGUGCCAGCAGCCGCGGUAA
rnacentral:rRNA from 1 species